CUCAGAACGUUGUCAGGUGCCCCUGUCCCUCAGAACGUUGUCAGGUGCCCCUGUCCCUCAGAACGUUGUCAGGUGCCCCUGUCCCUCAGAACGUUGUCAGGUGCCCCUGUCCCUCAGAACGUUGUCAGGUUGUCCUGAACGUCAGAGCCUAAAUUCAUGGUGUUUCAGUAGGAGAGCUGGUCGAGGUUGUAAUGAAGAACAGGAGGUUUGGACUGCUUCUAGAUCAGAUAUGCUUUCUGAACUCAGUCCCCUCUACCCUCAGUCCCCUCAGACAGACUAGGACCUGCCCUGAACAAGGUUCUCUACCCUCAGACAGACUAGGACCUGCCCUGGACAAGGUUCUCUACCCUCAGACAGAAUAGGACCUGCCCUGAACAAGGUUCUCUACCCUCAGACAGACUAGGACCUGCCCUGAACAAGGUUCUCUACCCUCAGACAGAAUAGGACCUGCCCUGAACAAGGUUCUCUACCCUCAGACAGACUAGGACCUGCCCUGAACAAGGUUCUCUACCCUCAGACAGACUAGGACCUGCCCUGAACAAGGUUCUCUACCCUCAGACAGACUAGGACCUGCCCUGAACAAGGUUCUCUACCCUCAGACAGACUAGGACCUGCCCUGAACAAGGUUCUCUACCCUCAGACAGACUAGGACCUGCCCUGAACAAGGUUCUCUACCCUCAAGACAGACUAGGACCUGCCCUGAACAAGGUUCUCUACCCUCAGACAGACUAGGACCUGCCCUGAACAAGGUUCUCUACCCUCAGACAGAAUAGGACCUGCCCUGAACAAGGUUCUCUACCCUCAGACAGACUAGGACCUGCCCUGAACAAGGUUCUCUACCCUCAGACAGACUAGGACCUGCCCUGAACAAGGUUCUCUACCCUCAGUCCCCUCAGACAGAAUAGGACCUGCCCUGAACAAGGUUAUUUUUGUGACUGAGUGAUGUCAUCCACUCUGCCCUCAACAGCAGAACUCUGGACCAGACUGACCAGCGAAGUGUUGGUCGUUACGACAACGUCACUUCCAGAAGGAAUUAACGACUUUUAAUAGUGGAUCAAAAUGUAAAUA